rnacentral:rRNA from 1 species
GCAACUGGCCAAUUUCUUAUGAUUUUGAAUGGUCCAUUUAGCACUCCACAGUUAAGCACGCUUGAGCCAAAGGAGUCUUGGGAUGGGUGACCUCCUGAAAAUUCAUGGUUACUGGGUGGA